AAUGAGCCCCUGACUUGAUUUGCUGAGAUCAGAAUCAGGUGAGAAAGAAGGAAAAUGUAAGCUGUGUGUAAGAUUAGUAUUUUAUAUGUUUCACAUUACAGGCUGACUAUAAAAGCUAGUCAGCCAAGACUGGCUAGUGAUGUGAAAGGAGGUCAUUUGCCAAGCUUCACUGCUAUGUGCCAGCUAUUUUAAAAGGGACUGUGGAAAUCUGGGAUCCCUCCUGCACACAGCCAGAUCACUGAAAUAGAUUUGCAUGAUAGUUCCUCUGCUGUGUAAAAUGUGUAUUGGAUUUGAGAUCUGGCACCUCCUUUUCUCCUCUGAACUCCAAAACACACCUGAGCCAUUCACCUCUCUCCCUUAGAAUGCUCAUCCAUGCUUAGAAAUGAAUAAAAACAAAAAUCUCUACCACAAACCCACCUAAAAUCUCACCCUCUUUGACAUUUGUAGAAUAGAUCACAAGUAGAUUAUCAGUUCCUUGUCAUUCCCCCUUGCCUACCCCCUUCCGCCAUCCCCAGUUUAUCUUAAUCCAAGUUAAUACAUUCCAACUAAUAUCUGUGUUGCUGCAGGAAUCCCUUUGUGUUUCUGAGAAGCACAUUUUCUGGGUAACCUUGAAAGCAGAAAGUCUGAGGGGUCUGCAGAAAUACAUAGGGAUGUCCUGAUGAGGUAAUUCCCUGGGGAGCACGGGCAGGUCUCCUAAUUGGGGGAGCCUGACUUCAACGGCAGCUGGCCAACUGCAACCCCAAUUACUGGAACCACUUGUGGAAACCUCAGGAGACAUGAUCAGGUUUUCAACAGCAGAUGAUCUGGGAAUUUGUUUGCCAUAGUAAGUGAAUUCUGCAUCAUCAGGCCAAAGACAGGGGAAAACAACAAACUCCACUUAAGAAAGCUGAGAAGAGGGAAGAGCAAUAAGGCCUGUCCUCUCUGUCACCUAGUUAUGCCUCCUGAAGCCUCUUUUUCCCACCAAUGGGUCGGCUAUUCUUUGCUACAGAAGCUUGUUCACUGAGACCAUUCUCUGCGUUCUCGCAGGAUUUUGUGGAGAACAGGAAGAAACACAAAGUCUUGUGUUUGUGGUAUAGCAAAGAAGAGAACUCUGAAGAGCGGCUUUUUAGCUUUUGUUAUGGUUUACCAGUUUUCCAUCACAAGCUGCAAGGAGCAAUACCUGGCCCAGGAGGCCAGAAGAGAGACAAUACCUCAGCAGAUGAGGCUGGAUCUUGA
rnacentral:lncRNA from 1 species